CUGCUGUAAGGUCCUCAUGAUUCAAGACAGAAAAGGGCUGGAAGCCCAGCACUUUCUGAUGUUUAAAAGCAUUUUAAUCAGAGCAGCUGUACUGAAUGGGUAAAUGGCAGCAGGGAGCCCUUCACAGCUGCUGGAGAUUUUGGGCCUGCCCUUUACAUGGGCAAAAUGUGUCUUCUGUGCUUCUUGCUUGUGUGCUGCAAACCCUGUACAACACCAGGAUUUCCAUGGAGAUGGAGGCAUUGCAUAUUGUCGAGGAUUUGCUUUAGCACAGCCUGCAAAUAUUCACACAGCUCUCACAGAAUGAGCUACUUCUGCUUGGCUGGAAGUGAAAGCUCGGCACUUGAGAAGCAUCCAUCUUACCUGGAUCGCACACUGCAUGAGAUCUGCACAUGUUCGUACAACGUCUAAGAGA
rnacentral:lncRNA from 1 species